rnacentral:rRNA from 1 species
GACGAGCCUCACGAACGUUAUUCGGAAUCACUGGGCUUAAAGAGUCCGUAGGCGGCCUGUUAGGUGAGGUGUGAAAUCCCCCGGCUCAACCGAGGAAUUGCGCUUCAAACCGGCAGGCUAGAGGAGGAUAGAGGUGGGCGGAACUGAUGGUGGAGCGGUGAAAUGCGUUGAUAUCAUCAGGAACACCGGAGGCGAAAGCGGUCCACUGGGUCCUUUCUGACGCUGAGGGACGAAAGCUAGGGGAGCGAACGGG